AUGCUCCUGAAGAUGGGGUGUGGGGGUUAUCGUUCUCGCGUACUCCUGGCGCACUCGACACCGGUGAUCCCCACACGCCGGCCUGCUUUGAAGACGACGACGCCGGGGUUGCCUUUCAUGUGCAGCCCCCGGCGAGCCCUUCAUGCCAGACUCAUCACCGGCGACCCCUUCACGCCGGACUCACCACCGGCGACGACGCGCCGGGGUUGCCAUUCAUGUGCAGCCCCCGGCGACCCCUUCAUGCCGGACUCACCACCGGCGACGACGCGCCGGGGUUGCCAUUCGUGUGCAGCCCCCGGCGACCCCUUCACGCUGGACUCAUCACCGGCGAUGAUGCGCCGGCAUUGCCCAUCUUGUGUGCCGCCCCCUUCUACCUACACCAUCGGCGGUGCCCAGACAAGGCUCCGGCACAUCGUGAGGCCUUAUUUGUCCCCGUCUCGCCGAGUCCAUGGUGGCGCCAUGGGCUUGCCGGGAGUCGGCGACAUUUGUUAUCCGACUGGGCGCCAUCUAGUGCGCCACCUCUUCUACCUACACCAUCGGCGGCGCCUGGGCGAGGCUCCGCCGCAUCGCGGGGUCUCCCUUGCCUUUGUCUCGCUGGUCCAUGGAGGCGCCAUGGGCUUGCCGGGACUUGACGACGUAGGCCGUUCGACGCCCUGGCGUGGCGCGGCGCUCGACGAGUCGACGGCUCGUCGUAACCUUGGAGGCGGCACGGCACUCGACGAGUCACGAUGA
rnacentral:rRNA from 1 species